rnacentral:rRNA from 1 species
ACGCUCGACACCUACGGGAGGCAGCAGUGGGGAAUAUUGCACAAUGGGGGGAACCCUGAUGCAGCGACGCCGCGUGAAGGAAGAAGUAUUUCGGUAUGUAAACUUCUAUCAGCAGGGAAGAAGAAAGUGACGGUACCUGACUAAGAAGCCCCGGNUAACUACGUCCCAGCAGCCGCGGUAAUCUGAGGCGGGCUGGCAAGGC